GAUGAAGAACGUAGCGAAAUGCGAUAAGUAGUGUGAAUUGCAGAAUUCAGUGAAUCAUCGAAUCUUUGAACGCACAUUGCGCCCCUUGGUAUCCCGAGGGGCAUGCCUGUUCGAGCGUCAUUUCACCACUCAAGCCUGGCUUGGUGUUGGGCGACGUCCUCUUUGGGGACGCGCCUCGAAACGCUCGGCGGCGUGGCACCGGCUUUAGCGUAGCAGAAUCUUUCGCUUUGGAAGUCGGGGCCCCGUCUGCCGGAAGACCUGCUCGCAAGGUUGACCUCGGAUCAGGCAGGGAUACCCGCUGAACUUAAGCAUAUCAAUAAGCGGAGGA
rnacentral:misc_RNA from 1 species